rnacentral:tRNA from 1 species
GGCAGCAUAGCUCAGCAGGUUAGAGCGGCGGUCUCAUAAUCCGCAGGUCGUGAGUUCAAGUCUCACUGCUGCUA